rnacentral:sRNA from 1 species
GCCAGGUGUGGUGGUGCACACCUGUAAUUCCAGUGGCUCGGGAGGUGGAGGCAGGAGGAUCGAGAGCUCAAAGCCAGCCUUAGCAACAGCGAGGUGCUAAGCAACUCAGUGAGACCCUGACUCUA